rnacentral:rRNA from 1 species
UACAUGGGGUGCAAACGUUGCUCGGAAUUAUUGGGCGUAAAGCGCGCGUAGGCGGUUACUCAAGUCGGAUGUGAAAGCCCUCGGCUUAACUGAGGAAGUGCACCCGAAACUGAGUAGCUAGAGUACUAAAGAGGGUCGCGGAAUUCCCGGUGUAGAGGUGAAAUUCGUAGAUAUCUGGAGGAACACCGGUGGCGAAGGCGGCGUUCUGGACUGCAACUGACACUGAAAAACGAAAGCCAGGGGAGCAAACGGG